rnacentral:rRNA from 1 species
AGAGUUUGAUCAUGGCUCAGGACGAACGCUGGCGGCGUGCCUAACACAUGCAAGUCGAGCGGGGAUACCGACGGAGUAAUCUGGAGGUAUUCUAGCGGCGGACGGGUGAGUAACGCGUGAGCAACCUGUCCUUGUCCGGGGGAUAAGAAGCCGAAAGGCUUUCUAAUACCGCAUGAGACCACGGGACCACAUGGUUCUGAGGUUAAAGGAGCAAUUUGGGCAAGGGUGGGCUCGCGUCUGAUUAGCUGGUUGGUGAGGUAACGGCUCACCAAGGCAACGAUCAGUAGCCGACCUGAGAGGGUGAUCGGCCACAUUGGAACUGAGACACGGUCCAAACUCCUACGGGAGGCAGCAGUGGGGAAUAUUGGGCAAUGGGCGAAAGCCUGACCCAGCAACGCCGCGUGAAGGAAGAAGGUUUUCGGAUCGUAAACUUCUAUCCUAGGUGAAGAUAAUGACGGUAGCCUAGAAGGAAGCCCCGGCUAACUACGUGCCAGCAGCCGCGGUAAUACGUAGGGGGCAAGCGUUGUCCGGAUUUAUUGGGUUUAAAGGGUGCGUAGGCGGGCUAUUAAGUCAGUGGUGAAAUCCAGCAGCUUAACUGUUGAUGUGCCAUUGAUACUGGUAGUCUUGAGUACAGAUGAGGUAGGCGGAAUUGACAGUGUAGCGGUGAAAUGCAUAGAUAUUGUCAAGAACUCCGAUAGCGAAGGCAGCUUACUGGGCUGUAACUGACGCUGAUGCACGAAAGUGUGGGGAUCAAACAGGAUUAGAUACCCUAGUAGUCC